CCUACGGGAGGCAGCAGUGGGGAAUCUUGCGCAAUGGGCGAAAGCCUGACGCAGCCAUGCCGCGUGAAUGAUGAAGGUCUUAGGAUUGUAAAAUUCUUUCACCGGGGACGAUAAUGACGGUACCCGGAGAAGAAGCCCCGGCUAACUUCGUGCCAGCAGCCGCGGUAAUACGAAGGGGGCUAGCGUUGCUCGGAAUUACUGGGCGUAAAGGGAGCGUAGGCGGAUAGUUUAGUCAGAGGUGAAAGCCCAGGGCUCAACCUUGGAAUUGCCUUUGAUACUGGCUAUCUUGAGUGUGGGAGAGGUAUGUGGAACUCCGAGUGUAGAGGUGAAAUUCGUAGAUAUUCGGAAGAACACCAGUGGCGAAGGCGACAUACUGGCCCAUUACUGACGCUGAGGCUCGAAAGCGUGGGGAGCAAACAGGAUUAGAUACCCUGGUAGUCCACGCUGUAAACGAUGAGUGCUAGUUGUCGGCAGGCAUGCUGUCGGUGACGCGAGCUACGCAUAGUCACNCCGCCGUGGGAGGUACGGUCGCGAGAGUAAACGUACGAAGAAGUUAGUAGACGUUGAGACGNGCGACGGACGACGACGAGGGAGGAGG
rnacentral:rRNA from 1 species